GUGUAAACAGACCAUACAGUUAACAGGGUUCAGUUAUGCAGCCGCGAAGCGUCUGUGACUGUGCUGUGUCACUGCGCGUAACCGUGACCACGUAGUGUUAGUUGUGCUUAAGCGCUGGUGCACGGAGGAAGACAGGACGAAGUACCUCUUGAACUCUGAGAGGUAACUCGUGGAUGCCUCGACACCUGCGUUGUAGUGUAUCACAUGAGGUUAAUUAUUGAAGUUGUUUGUGUAGUAGUGAUGUGUUAACAUUGUGAAUUUCUACUGUUUGGCAGUAUUGUAGUGGGGCAUCUGGAAGUCUGCCACCAGCAACUGACUUCAAAUAUAAAGUAGAGGAACAACAGAGUCUUGAGAGCCGCAGAAGUAGCAGUAGCGGCAUCAAGAAGGUGGCAGGAGAUGAGAAAAUACGUGGUCAGGAAGCAACUUCUGUUUUAACAUGGCAACCUUCAACAAUUUAACUGACCCUUUGUCCAAAUUCUGCGGCCACCCAUUUUGGAACGUCAGUACUGCUUGGGAUACAUAUGACCCAGAUUUGGGCUUGUGUCUGGAGCGGACAGUACUAGUAUGGGGGCCAUGUCUCUUCCUGUGGGUGUGUGCCCCAGCCUACAUCAUGAAACAGCGACAGACAAGUGAACCUGCCAUCCCCUCAUCACCUCUCCUGUACUUCAAAGUGGUGUUUUCACUACUAGCAGCAGCAGCAGCAGUGGCAGAGUUGUCAUUAGUGGAGAUACUGUCAGCCUCUAGCUAUGAUUUUGUAACUCCACUCACCCUCAUUCUUUCUUAUUGUUUGCAAGUAUUUUUGGUAUUGUUUGGUCGUCGGUGUGGGGAGAGAAGCAAUGGUCUGAUCUGGUUGUUCUGGCUCACUAUGGUGUUGUGUGGUGUUCCUCAACUUAAGUCAUCACUUUCAUCCACUGUUUAUAAUGAUGGCCCACUGGAGAUGACAAUAGCAUUCCUGGUUCAGUACAUUGCUGCUGUUUUGUUGUUGUCUCUAAACAGCUUUGCUGAUAAUCCUCCUAACUCUCACCUGCUCAACAAGAAUAAGGUCUACCCUUUCAACUACUCAUCGUUUUUAAGUCAAAUAACCUUCCAUUGGGCCAACGGACUUGUAUGGCUAGGGUGGAAACGAUCCCUAACCCAUGAUGACUUGUGGAACAUCCCAGCUGAGUGUGCCACUAACCUCCUGGAUACUUCAUGGAGAACAUCUUGGAGUAAAGAGCUCUCCAUUGUCAGAAGUAAGAUUUCAUCAUCAAAAAGUGAGCAAGGUGGUGGAGAGAGAGAGCCAUCAGGACCAGUGCGAGUAUCUGUCACAAGGGUCAUCAUUCGCUCCUUCUUUUGGUCUUACAUCAUCACUGCUGUUCUACAUGUUACUUCAGAAUUACUUUUAUUUUUUACUCCACGACUUUUGAGUUUGUUGAUCAGCUUUACAAUGAGUGAAAGUGAGCCAGUGUGGCAUGGCUACUUUUAUUCCAUUCUGAUGCUCCUGGUGAGCCUCCUCACCACUGUCCUCAGAACCAUCUUUGCAUACAAGGCCUGGCUCAUUGGUAUCAAAAUAAGAUCCUCACUAAUGAGUGCUGUCUACUCUAAGGCACUCACUUUGUCGUCAUCUGCCAGACAAAAUUCAACCGUGGGCGAGAUUGUCAACUUAAUGGCUGUAGACUCGCAGAGAAUGAGUGACUUUCCUUUGUUUUCCAACUUGCUCUGGUCAGGUCCUCUGAUCAUCUUAGUUGCUCUAUAUGAACUUUGGCAAAUACUUGGACCAUCAGUGUUGGCUGGCCUGGUGGUGUUGAUACUCCUGGUCCCCAUAAACAGUGUCAUCGCUAACAAAAUCAAGAUGCUCCAGGGUUCUCAUAUGAAGUUCAAGGAUAAGAGAAUCAAGUUGCUGAAUGAAAUUAUUAGUGGAAUAAAAGUACUGAAACUAUAUGCCUGGGAGGACUCUUUCAACAGUCAGGUGGAAGGUGUCAGGAGAGAUGAAAUCACAGUUCUGAGGAAGUCUGCUUUUCUCCACUCAUUUGUAACCUUCAUAUGGCUCACAACACCAUAUCUGGUUUCAUUAGCUUCAUUUGCCACAUAUUUACUGGUGUCUGAGAACAAUGUCUUGGAUGCUCAAAUGGCUUUUGUCUCCAUUGCACUUUUCAACCUGAUGCGCUUCCCCAUCACCCAGCUACCACAACUGAUCGCUAGCGGCAUUCAGGCAAAAGUUUCAUUAAGCAGGAUGGAGAAGUUCCUGGCAUCAUCAGACAUUGAUCCUCAUGCUGUAUCCACUAGUAACAAGGAGAAUGAGGCAAUUGUGGUUCGUGGAGGACAGUUCAGUUGGGGCACUGAAGGUAGAACAGAUCCAUGGCGACUGCGAGAUGUGGAUCUGGAAAUUGGUCAAGGGCAACUGGUGGCGGUGGUGGGGCCUGUGGGAGCUGGCAAAAGUUCUCUUCUCUCCUCUUUACUGGGGGAAAUAAAUAAAGAAGCUGGGCAGGUUGUUGUUAAUGGCAAAGUAGCUUAUGUUUCUCAACAAGCUUGGUUACAAAAUGCAACACUGAAGGACAAUAUCACUUGGGGUCAACCUUUAGAUGAACGACAUUACCAGAAGAUUAUUGAAGCGUGUGCCCUUCAGCAGGACCUAGACAUGCUGCCUGCUGGGGACAUGACAGAGAUAGGAGAAAAGGGCAUCAACCUCAGUGGAGGACAAAAACAACGAAUAUCUUUAGCACGAGCAGCAUAUAAUGAUGCUGAUGUCAUAUUACUGGACGACCCUCUCAGUGCUGUAGAUUCUCAUGUUGGCCGUCACAUCUUUGACAGUUUAAUUGGUCCUAAUGGAAUGAUGAAGAAGAAGACAAGAGUAUUAGUGACCCAUGCAGUGUGGCUGCUGCCACAAGUGGACUUUUUGGUGGUGAUACGUGAUGGACAGAUAGUGGAGAAGGGCACUUGGACACAGUUACUGGAGGGUGAAGGAGACUUUGCUCACUUCCUUAUUCAACACAUCACUAGAGAAAAUGAUGAUGAGGAGGACGGAAAUGAGCUGGACCAACUAUGUGAACAACUGGAAAAUACUCGUCAUGGACAGGUCCUUAUGAAACAACUGUCACACCAGAGCAACAGUUUUGAGUCUGGACGAAUUGGAGGUGUACGUAAAUGUAACAGAGACAGCAGUUGUGGAAGUGACCAACAGCUGAGAGAGAGCAGUGGAGAUGUCUUGUCUGUGACCUCAAAUCAGCGUCAACAGUCUAUUUCUUCAUCUGGCGUUGGAAGUGUACACAAGAGGCAAAGAGGAGAAUCAAUAUCCAUGAAGGACCUAAAAGCAAGCAAGGAUAAUAAUGUCAAUGAAGGGAAAGCAGGAGAAAUUCUGAUUCAGGAGGAAGCAGUAGAGACUGGCAAGGUAAAAUGGAAAGUAUAUUCGUUCUAUGCAUUAGCCAUGGGCCUUCUUCCUGCCAUAGUUCCAGCACUGCUAUAUUCUGUUGCUCAGGUGUUCCAGGCAGGCAGUAAUGUGUGGCUGUCAUACUGGACUAGCAACACCACUGCUCCCUCAACCAAUACUACUCAACAAGAUUUCAAUCGUGUGGAGUUUCUGGCUGUUUAUGGAGCCUUCGGCAUUGGCCAAUCUGUGUUGUUCUACUUUGGAUCAGUUAUGCUGUGGAUUGGCUGCAUGAGAGCAGGGAAAGACAUUCAUCAGAGACUCCUUAAGAGAGUCUUACAUCUGCCAAUGAGCUUUUUUGAUACUAAUCCAAGUGGGCGUAUCAUGAACCGCCUCAGUAAGGAUAUAGACGUCCUUGAUAGUGUGCUGCCCCUCCUUAUAUCUAACUCCUUAAUACUCUUAGCACAGGUUGUAGCAACACUGAUUGUGAUUGUGGUAUCGACCCCAUUGGUUGCCAUAGUCAUUGGUCCUAUUAUGGUGCUCUACUACUUCAUCCUGAUUGUCUACAUAUCCACCACAAGGCAGCUCAAGCGCAUAGAAUCUGUAACCAAGUCUCCUGUUUUCUCACACUUUGGAGAGAGUGUCCAAGGCGUAUCAACUAUUCGGGCAUUUAAAAAGGAAAAAGAUUUCAUCCGCACAUCCCACAUGAAGAUCGACUAUUCUGUGCAAGCCUUUGUUACCAACCUUGCCUGUAACAGGUGGUUAGGAGUGCGGCUGGAAGUUAUUGGAAACCUCAUCACCUUUGCUGCUGCCGUCUUUGCUGUGGCUGGACGAGGUUCAGUCAGCUCAGGCAUUGUUGGUUUGUCCAUAACUUAUGCCCUUAAUGUUACAGUAAUUCUCAACUUCUUGGUGAGGAUGAGCUCAGAAAUAGAGGCAAACAUUGUGUCUGUGGAGAGGAUCAAGGAAUACAUUGAGGAGAAGCUGGAAUCUCCUUGGAAUGUCAAAGAACAUUCACCAUCAAAGUCGUGGCCGGAGAAUGGGAGUCUGACUUUCAACAAUUACCAAACACGCUACCGUCCUGGCCUGGAGCUGGUGUUGAAAGGUUGGCAUUGUAGGGAGGACAGGAGCUGGCAAGUCAUCCCUAACACUUGCUUUGUUUAGAAUUAUUGAGGCUGAUGGUGGUACUAUUGAAAUUGAUGGCAUCAACAUUUCCAAGCUUGGUCUCCAUGAUUUAAGAAGCUGCCUCAGCAUUAUACCACAGGAUCCUGUUUUGUUUAGUGGAACAUUGCGCACCAAUCUGGAUCCUUUUGAUAUUUAUGAUGAUGCCACCAUUUGGCAUGCACUCGAGUUGGCCCACCUUAGCUGUUAUGUGCGUGCCCAG
rnacentral:misc_RNA from 1 species